ensembl:lncRNA
GGGAGGCUAAAAUCCAACUCUCUUUUUUUGGAGAGUAACAGUCUCGAGUCUCUUAGACUCCGUCGCGGGAGAUCUCAGGUGAGUCCUUCACUCCUCUUUCCUUCUGGCUAUGUGACGACAAUCAGCUUAUUCACAAGUGCCCCUUUAUUCUGGCUUGCAGGACGACUGUCCAGAGUCCUCUCCUUUCCUGGACGUAACAGAUACAAGUGGUAAGUAUUGAGAGUUUGGAUGCACAAUGGAUACCUGCUGCUACUCGUGGCAAACUCCGAGGCGGCCCAGCGGGUUGUACUCCCGGUCGUCCAGAUGCUGGUGGAACUGCACAAGGGCUGCCGGGAUCCAACUAAAACCGUACUGGUAAGUGUACAGGAGGGGGUUUCCGCGGUUUCUGUAUCCUGAGUGACGGGUCGACAUGCAGGUAGACGCUUCAAAGGGACACGCUAGAUCUGCACAAGAGCAUACAGGUAAGUGUAACAGGACUGGACACGGACAGUGGACAGAGGGGCCGCUGGCUCUUCACUCGGGGGCACAAGUAAGUCCGUAGGAAAGACAACUGGGGCUUCACUUGAGCAUACAGGCGAGUGUACAACACAAUAUGCUGGCUUUAGCUUUGGGCAUAAGGUAAGUACAUCCAAUAUAACUGGGACUUCACUCUGGGCAGACAGGCGAGUGUACAACACAAUAUGCUGGGUAAGUACGUCAAAUGUAACUGGGACUUCACUUGGGCAUACAGGCGAGUGUACAACACAACAUGCUGGCUUUAGCUUUGGGCAUAAGGUAAGUACAUCCAAUAUAACUGGGACUUCACUCUGGGCAGACAGGCGAGUGUACAACACAAUAUGCUGGCUUUAGCUUUGGGCAUACGCUUACGGUGAAUAUACAGGGAAACAGGAAGUGAUGUAACUCACAGACCUUCGAGGGAAUAGACGUCAGACGUUCCUUUUCUGAGGCUUCUACCAACUGCUGAUAGAGAGGCGGAUCGAAAACUACUGUUGCGUUGGGCCGAACACGGCCUCCGCUGGCGUCACACACAGGUAAGUUGUUUCACCCGGGGUGUACUACACUGGAUGGGUCGAACGCUUCCCUCUUCUUUCUACCAACCGACAAGGCAAGAGAUAUAGACAGGGGCGAACCUUUGAAGAACUCCACAGCAGGUAAUAAUACACGCACAGCUGAUUUCCUCCUACAGCAGCCAACUCCUCACCAUUAAUACUUCCCAAUAGAUCCACACUGUUCUUACUUGAAAUUGUUUCCCACCACCGUCACGUGGGGAAGAAGGGUCAGGAUGUCAUCGACGGCAUAUAAUUGGAGAUGUUUUCUUCGCCCCCCUCGGUACUCACUUCCUUCACAGGAUUUUGUCGGGCCUGAAAGGUGGUUGUUGACAACACAACACAGCACAACACUGCAAUUUUCAAGUGUAUACACUCACAGCAAAGGACAAAGACUCCACGAGACACUCCACACACUCUUGGUGAAUUUAGGGUCAAAACCCCGUCUGACCAAAGACUCGUCCUGGAAAUCGUGGAGACACUGAUGCCACGAAUAUUCAGAUUUAAACGUCGCCGCCACGACACCCCAACGUCCUCUCUCGCUCACUGGUCCCGGCUCACCCACA